GAUGAACGCUGGCGGCGUGCCUAAUACAUGCAAGUCGAGCGAACAGACGAGGAGCUUGCUCUUCUGACGUUAGCGGCGGACGGGUGAGUAACACGUGGAUAACCUACCUAUAAGACUGGGAUAACUUCGGGAAACCGGAGCUAAUACCGGAUAAUAUAUUCAACCGCAUGGUUCAAUAGUGAAAGACGGUUUUGCUGUCACUUAUAGAUGGAUCCGCGGCGCAUUAGCUAGUUGGUAAGGUAACGGCUUACCAAGGCGACGAUGCGUAGCCGACCUGAGAGGGUGAUCGGCCACACUGGAACUGAGACACGGUCCAGACUCCUACGGGAGGCAGCAGUAGGGAAUCUUCCGCAAUGGGCGAAAGCCUGACGGAGCAACGCCGCGUGAGUGAUGAAGGUCUUCGGAUCGUAAAACUCUGUUAUUAGGGAAGAACAAAUGUGUAAGUAACUAUGCACGUCUUGACGGUACCUAAUCAGAAAGCCACGGCUAACUACGUG
rnacentral:rRNA from 1 species